GCUGCCAAGCCCGUACGCGACCCCAGGUCAGGCGGGGCUACCCGCUGAGUUUAAGCAUAUC
rnacentral:rRNA from 1 species